AUUGAACGCUGGCGGCAUGCUUUACACAUGCAAGUCGAACGGCAGCACGGGCUUCGGCCUGGUGGCGAGUGGCGAACGGGUGAGUAAUGCAUCGGAACGUACCGUGUAAUGGGGGAUAACGUAGCGAAAGUUACGCUAAUACCGCAUACGCCCUGAGGGGGGAAAGUGGGGGACCGCAAGGCCUCACGUUAUACGAGCGGCCGAUGUCGGAUUAGCUAGUUGGUGGGGUAAAGGCCUACCAAGGCGACGAUCCGUAGCGGGUCUGAGAGGAUGAUCCGCCACACUGGGACUGAGACACGGCCCAGACUCCUACGGGAGGCAGCAGUGGGGAAUUUUGGGACAAUGGGCGCAAGCCUGAUCCAGCCAUGCCGCGUGAGUGAAGAAGGGCCUUCGGGUUGU
rnacentral:rRNA from 1 species